GCGACCCCAGGUCAGGCAGGACUACCCGCUGAGUU
rnacentral:rRNA from 4 species